AGAUACUGAAAACACUGCCCGGGAAUGCUAACAAGCAAGAAAGAGGAAGUUAUAUUCGAGUUACUUUGUGCCCUCCUCCCCCGUGAUGUUACCACUAGCAUCUUGACCAUUUUGGUUACUACUGGAGGGGAAAAACCUCAAAUCCUUUCCUGAUCUUGGAAGGGCUCCAAAAUAUAGCACAUAUUCCUUGCUUAAGAGUGACCUAUUUCAGUUUUUUUCUUAAUCUGUGCUAGAUUCUGGUUUGCCAUUAUUAAAACUCCACAGCGAAGCAUUUACUAGCUUUGUCCCUAUAUUUACAAUACCUUUUGACUGAGACGUCUAAGAGCUUUAAACAUAUGCUUUAAGCAGUGAACGGUUGGCGCUGACAUUUGUUACAAAUCUUUUCAGAGGGCCGUGUGGAAUCGUUCUAAUCCGGGAAGAGCCACUGACUCACUGUGUGAUCUGACAGAGUGACAUAUCACUUGACCUCAGUCACAGCAGGUGUAGAACGAGGUGCUGUCAGAUACAGUGCAUUGCAUUCUCCGUGAGAUGGCUAUGGGUGCUUUAAAACAGCAGAUGAAACGCUACCCCAUUCUGCCAGCUCCAAGUAUGGGAGCUCUGGUAGAAGUCCAGAACUUACUGCAGCAGCGCUUUCCCCUGCCAAAUUUCCUGACAUUGACAUUACCAGUGUUCAGACCUCAGCUAGCUCAUGACCGAGGACAACCUUAAACAAAAUGCCAUUUCCCUGCCCAUUCAGCAUGUUUACAUUUAACUUUAAGUCUUCUGCUAUAUAUUCAUGUGAAAUUCUACCCCACCUUAGCUGCUCUUACAAUAGGAUAGAUCUUAAACAUUACUUAAAUAUCUGGAAAGCCACUCUAGUUUGCAUCUGGAUAGCCCCUCUCUGCAGAGAAAUCUUUGGUGGGCAAAGUACUUGUGCUGGUGCAUCUCUUUGCUGUACACUGCAGAACAGAGGGAGAAGGGAGGCAGCUGAUGGUGCCAGGAGGACCUGGACUCUGGUGAGCCUUCAUCUGGAGAGUGACCUGGUGAGGCAGGGGACUGAAAACGCAGGAAGGAGAGCCCUUCUAGCUGAUGAAACUUUAAGACAAACUUAAGGCUGCUGUGAGAUAUUUUAAACCAAACUGUCCAACCUUAACAGGAGUUUAAGGAGCAAACAGAAGGGUCCGUCCUCAGGUACAUGACAUGCCCAGGCAGCAUGAGCUAAGCUGGAAGUAAAUGCACAGAAGCACUCUCAUUCCAGCCUGUAGCACAGCUUCUGUUAGAGCUGUCUGGCACAGCCUCAGGAGCUGACGUCCUGCUUGAACUAUCCUGUCCCACUUGCAUUCCUGAGCCGACAGACGACAGCAUGUAGAUGCGCAGGCAGCAGUCAGCAGCACAUGCCAAGCAAGUUUCUUACAAAAAUAGAAACACAAUAGAUCUUUCAAUUUUCCAGUGCGUCUUCCCCAGUCCUUACCCGUUUUACUUACAGUGAAAUGUAGAGGCACGUGAGGUGCUGUGUCCUAGUUGCACUUGAUCUGUGCACAUCUCAGGAUGUUCUGAUCUGGUUUUAACCCAGGAAAAAGCAAGUAGUUUUGAUUUGAGUCUGGCCAAAAGUCUGAAGCAGUCAUAUUGUAAAUGGGGUGUUGCUUUGUGCCUUUUUCAUAAUUCUGCUAUUCAGAUUUUGCUCCAUCUUAUUCUCAUAUAAAUCAAACUGAAUGAACUUGAAGUUCUGAAGCAAUUACAGACUAAGGAAUCUUAAAAGAGCCAGUCCAUGGGAAGAUACACCUGCCACAUCCCUUUUCUUGGUGUACCAGCCAUCUUACUAUUGCUCUCCUUGCCGUUAGUGACCUGGUGCCUCAGGCACAGACAGUUGCACUUGGGUGCCUGACUCCUCUAAUUUCAGCUGCUGGGGCAGCUGAAGCAUGACAGGUCAAAUCAUUCCGAGCCAGGAGUACAUAAUGUACAUCCCAUGCAUAAUGCCACUGCUACCUUUGGAUGGCUUCACCUACUCAUACAGUUUAGAAUUAGGUAUUUAGGAAUUGCUUCCAUUUCUCUGUGACAACCAGGUUAUUAUAAUUGGGCAGUUCUUUACAAAUAAUAAUUAAUUUCCACUACAACCUUUAAUUUAAGGUGCCACGAAUGUAAAAAUAAACAAGUUACAUCCUGUUUCUGAUUUUCAGACACUUGUACAUGGAUUGCCAAUAGACCAAAAGCAAUUAAGGCCUACAUAAUAUUUUUGUCAUUUUUAUUUCAUAAAUUCAUGCUGUUUUUCUAACAUGGCUUUGAAUUACCACUGUGACUUCCUGUAUUUCUGUGAAGAAGAAGAAAGAAAUGUUCUCCAUCCCAAGGAUAUGUGAUGCCAUACUUGCUAUUUUUUUUUUCCUUUUGUCCUUGAUUUUCUAGAGGGGAUGUCUCAUGAAAAAAAGAGUCAAAGAUGAUAACAGUUCUAGGCAAAACUCUUGCAUCAUUUAGUCUAGGUUUCUGAAUCGGGCAAUACAGCUUGCUAUGUAUUUACACUUGACUUUCAAUUAACUCUUGGAUGUUUGCAGCAACGUCAUCUCAGCAGUCAGGGAGACUUCGUGAAGCUGUUUCCUUCAUUUAAUAGCCUACCAUAAGCUUUAAAAUUUGAUCUAUAAGUUUUGACUUUUUAUUUUUCCCUGGCAGCUUCUAAUCAAUAUAAAAUGUGAAAAUACCCUUUCUUUUAAUUGAUAAUGUGUUUGAUUGUAUAUAAAUUGUAUUUUCAUGUGCUAAUCCAUGAUAGAAGCGUGGGAAACAACAUGUAUGUUAUCUCUGGAAUGGGCAGAGUCUUUAUAGAAUGGUAUUACUUCUGUAGACUUUUUAAGGGGCUCUGUUCUGGUGAAUAUGAUUUCUGCUUCCAUUAGUUUUUCCCCUCUAUGUCUUCCCUUUAAAGUAAACCAAACCAAAUUAUGUAGGACCACUAGGAAAUUCUUUGAGAGGAAGGCUGCAAUAUGCAUCUGUGCCAGUCAAACGUUUAACUUUCUAAUUCCCAGCUUAUUUCCUGAAGACACCUAAAUAGGGCUGAGCUGCUGGGUGUCUGAACUUCUUCCUGCUCUCUGUAUUUUAUCUGUUAUCUCAAACACUGUUCAGAAGAUCCUAUACUGUAUAAAAGAGCAUACAGAAGUUGUGACCAACCACACAGUGAGUAUAUUAAAGGUUCAUCCACCCUCCUGCAAAACAUAUUUAAGGUUGUUUAAUAUUGUAAUAUU